rnacentral:lncRNA from 10 species
UUUCACCGUGUUAGCCAGGAUGGUCUCGAUCUCCUGACCUUGUGAUCUGCCCACCUUGGCCUCCCAAAGUGCUGGGAUUACAGGCGUGAGCCGCUGUGCCCGGCCUCAAACGUCUAAUCUUUAACAAAAGUUCCAAGCGGGCCAAGGGCACAGAUGCUGCCUGCACCUGCGCAGCCACCCACCGUCGACAGGAGAGCAGAGGCACCAGGCCUGCUCCCACCACAGAGAGAAACGGGCUCCCCAGCCCAGCUCUGGGCUGGUCAGCAACCCCCACUCCCCACCCUGCCUGCUCAAAAGAAAGGGUCCUCGUGCCUCCAGCCCCCUCCACCCUCCCUCCAGGACCUUCCUGACCAUGCGCUGGGCCUGUGCAGGUGUUGAGCCACACCCACGCCCUUCCAGGGGGCGGGGUCUCGAAGGGGAGAGCAGGUGCUAUAGUCAACAGGAGGGAGGGCUUCUGGCCGAGGUGGCAAGGAGGCUCCAGGAGGAGAAGACAGUGUUGACCUGGGGCGUUGAGGGAUGAGGAGUCCUGUAGGCAGCAGUGGAAAGGAAGGUGCUCCAGACAGGGGGCCUCGGGGAACAAGGGGAUGCUGGAGUGUCACUGGUGAUGAAUCUGUUCGGGUCUGCAGCAACCUCAGUUCUUGCCUCCUUAGAAGAAAGAAUUCAACCGAGGGGCAUAAGGCAGAGGGAGAGACCGAGGCACGCUUCAGAGCAGAAGUGAAGUUUAUUAAAAAGCUUUAAAGGAGGAAGGAAAGUACGCCUGGAAGAAGGCUAGGAGGGCACCUUGAAAGACCAGUGUGUGGUUUGACCUUCUGACUUGGGGUUUGAUACAGUGACAUAAUGCGGGGUCUUGUGUUACUUCUCCCCACCCACCCAGCUCCUGAGAUCUUAACGGGAAGCUGCUGAUCACCAGCUUCAGCUGUUGUCUAUCUGUUAGGAGGCUGUCUUUCCCUGGCGCUGGCUGUGACCAAUUAUUACUUUAGAGACAGUUAACAACUACCUGACCAUCACCUCAUGGUGGCCAGCACACCUGUUGUGUGUGUGUGGUGGUGGGGAGCCCUCUCCUGCCCUGCUCAUACCCCCUAGCUACCCACACUAACAUUUCCCCCCGCAGGAGGCCAAGACCCCAGUUCUUGAGGGAAAUGGACAAAGGUCAGUCUUCUGUAACUGCUGUCUGCUGACAGAGGGGCAGCGGUGGUGGUUCUGUGAGUAUUGGCCUCUUGCUGUCAGGGCACGGUUGGCUCCAUGGGUUAGUGAAAGUGGUGGCCAGCCAGGGAGCGGUAUCCAGGGAGACGGGCAGGAUUGUGCCUCUGUCCUGUCCCCCUGAUGGGCAGUCCAGGGGUCCCCUGUAGAAGGGUGGCUCUUGAAUAUUGAGAGGACCUAUCUCUCACUGAGGACCACCUGGAGAUUGAUGACCUGAAGGCAAGAGGAGACAAAUCAGGUUAUUAGAUUUAGAAGAAUGUUUGCAUGAGCACCACGCCGGCCUUAAUAGACGUUAUCUGGGAGAAGUUUGUCGGGCCUCUUGUCGGUUUCUGUUGCUUGGCAAGGUAAGAACCUGCAGCAGUAACAGCAUGGAGACUGAUUUCGCUUGUCCCUUUCUCUCUGGAUGGACGCGUGGGUGGUUUCCACUCUGCCUUCUCUGAGGGUGCCACGAGGAACAUUGAGUUCCUAUUUUCAGUUCUUUAGGGUAUAAACCUACGGUUCAAAUCAGGAGGUCCUAUGGUAAUUCUGUGUUUAAAUCUUUGUACCCUUUACUUUUUCUUUUAAAGUACUUUUAAAUUUUAAUAUUUUAAAUGAUGGAAAAAUAUACAUAACAUAAAACCUACCAUUUAAACCAUUUUUAGCUGAACAAUUCAGUGGCAUUGAACUUACGUAACCAUCAUGGUGGUCUAUUUCCAAAUUUUUUCUUCCCAAAAAGAAAGCACGAGGCCGGGCGCGGUGG